GAGUUUGAUCGUGGCUCAGAUUGAACGCUGGCGGCAUGCCUUACACAUGCAAGUCGAACGGCAGCACGGGAGCUUGCUCCUGGUGGCGAGUGGCGAACGGGUGAGUAAUGCAUCGGAACGUAUCCUGGAGUGGGGGACAACGUAGCGAAAGUUACGCUAAUACCGCAUAUUCUGUGAGCAGGAAAGCGGGGGACCUUCGGGCCUCGCGCUCUUGGAGCGGCCGAUGUCGGAUUAGCUAGUUGGUGAGGUAAAGGCUCACCAAGGCGACGAUCCGUAGCAGGUCUGAGAGGAUGAUCUGCCACACUGGAACUGAGACACGGUCCAGACUCCUACGGGAGGCAGCAGUGGGGAAUUUUGGACAAUGGGGGCAACCCUGAUCCAGCCAUGCCGCGUGAGUGAAGAAGGCCUCGG
rnacentral:rRNA from 1 species